ACUUUCAACAACGGAUCUCUUGGCUCUCGCAUCGAUGAAGAACGUAGCGAAGUGCGAUAAGUAAUGUGAAUUGCAGAAUCCCGUGAAUCAUCGAAUCUUUGAACGCAAAUUGCACUCUCUGGUAACCCGGGGAGUAUGCCUGUUUGAGGGUCAGU
rnacentral:rRNA from 1 species